ensembl:lncRNA
UAGGCGGGGAAAGGUAGCCAGGAAGUGGGGCCGAUUCCGAGUUACUGCCUGCAUGAGAACUUAUCUUAAAUAUCUUAAAGUUCUGAACUAUCUAGACAGUUGUGCUGAUAAAGUAAAAGCUUGUGUGGAAUGGACGGAACCACAUGGUUGUCGGAUGAAUCACAUCAUCAUCAUCCGUUACUGGACUAUUUUGUCUUAUUUUUAAUAUUCAUACAAUUACCAACAAAAAGUUUGGAACAUCACAGUCUGGAGUUCCGGUUCACACUGCAGGAGGAACUGAACAAUUACAAAAGUUUCCAUCAGACGACUGUGUUUGACGGUGAAACCGUCUUUUAUUGUGAUGAUAGCCUAAGAGACGAACCCAGACAGGACUGGGUCCAUCAAACAUUCAAUACUGAAGAUCUGAAUGAAAGACGGGACUUCUGUAGGGAUCAAUACCAUGAACAAGUAACACGAUAUUUGGAAAUCCUGAAAAUGAUCACUGGAACAACAGGUUUCUUCCUGAGACGCCGCGGCUGCUCUGGCAACAGGUCAGAGGUCACAAGUUUUGACAAAUGGGGUCUAAAUGGUGACGACUUUCUGACCUUCAACACCACGACCCAAAUAUGGGAACCUGAUUCUGAACUGGCUGCUCUAGUAGCUUCAAACUGGAACCAGUACAGUGACUGGAAUCGUGUAGAUGGUGAAUUCAGCCAGAACUGGUGCAGAAAAAUCCUUCAUGUGUUUGUAGAGAAGAAAGCAGCAGGGAGGAAACAUCAAGAAACAAUCCAUAUUUUGUCCAAGCCUGUCCCUGGAUCUCCUUCUAGAUCUUUAAGUUGCUGCGGAUCAGAUGGAGCAGGUUCCUCUAGGAACAGAGUUGUGCUGCCUGUGAUUCUGCUGGUUUUUGUCGCUUUUAUACUAAUUUUCUACAUACGUAAGUCUCUUUUUAUUCCUUGAAGCAUUAGGUGAAGUCUGUAUGAAGUUACUGGAUGUAGUUUGAAGUUUGUUGAGUGUGAAUUAUGUGAAUGUGGUUUACGUGGUUACAGACAUUUACAUAAAAACACCACAAUUACUACACUGUAACCUGGGCAUCUGUAUAUAUGUCAGAAUGUGUAAAAUCAGAGAAACGCUCCACUCUUUCAAUUACAAACCUUCAUACUUGCACUUUCUUUUCAUUUAUGUGUUCUACUUCAUUUUUACUCUGCAAAGUUGUGAAUGUCGUUGCUUGUAUUGACGUUGUCAUACUUUAUAUUUCUGCAUUAUAUUGUACUGUUUGGCGAUGCAGUUCACCCUGCAGCUGGUUUAGAAACAGUGUUGUAAUCUGCAUAUUUAUAGCCUUUAAUGGUGUGAAAAGAAGAUAUCUGAAGGAUCCGGUUAUAAAUAUGCAACAAGGGCAGGACACUUCACCCCGAGUGUCUCCAGGGGGACUGUCCCUGGCACUACUGGAUAAGGGCGUCUGAUAAAUGCUGUAAAUGAUGUAAAAACAUUGUAAAAAAAAAAAAAAGUAAACAUUUUGGUUGCAUGUCUUUCACAAUAAUUUACAUGAACAAUUCCACAGUGCAUUACAAUAAAUCUGCAACUAUGUACAGUGAUUUCACAGCAGCCAAGGACAUAGGAUUGCUGUAGUAUAGCAGUUUGUAGAUCAUUAUUCAAUCUUUGAUCCUCUCACAUAUGUAAAGUUGACAGAGGGCAGGUGAUGUGAAAUAACCGGUGAGCCAUGAAGUAAAACUGAAAUUUGACACCCUGAAAAUGUAGCGUAACCUGUAAACCUCGGCUCUCCAGAGUUGUGUUAGUGGAUUAUUUUAUUGGUAUGAAGUUCCAUAUCUCAAGGGAAGUAAAUAAACAGUAGAUCAACCAACUGAUUUAUAUGUCUUCUCAUGCAUCCAAAUUAUGUGAAUGUAAAAUAAUGAUGUCCAGUAAUAAGAAGUUGAGAAUGAUGACAUAUCCUAAAAAUACAUGUCUAAUGUACUAUUUUACAUACAUUAUUAAGACUCCAGCAGCAGCUACCAGUGAAGUAGUGAACUCUGCACUAUGAGGCGUCCCCUAGACCACAUAUCAAGAAAAGCUCACACAUGUGAGCAAGUCUAGUCUUGUACAACCUCCUCAAUAAGCUUUCACACGUUCUACUUUUACUUUGCACACCCACCACUUUUACUUUGCACAUGCACUACAUUUCCCCCGCACAUAAACACCAUAAUAUCCAUACUAUAUAUAUACACUAUAUGUUAUAAGAAUUGCAUAUUGGGCUGAGUAUGAAAAGGCAUUGUGGGAGAUUGAGUGGCUAUGUGGGCGUGUCUGUGUGUAUGUGGCUAAAGAUGGAAUAAAGUUGCUGGAAUGGCUCUGGUUUGUUCUUAAUUUAUUGCAAACUGUGUCAUGGACGUGUCUUGGUUUAUUUUUGCUUUGUUCAUCCCCGGUUCCUCCCCCAGGCCCCUCUUGAAGUGAAGUGAUUGUCAUUGUGAUACACAGCAGCACAGCACAUGGUGACAAGAUGAAAUGUGUCCUCUGAAUUUAACCAUCACCCUUGGUGAGCAGUGGGCACCAUGACAGGCGCCCGGGGAGCAGUGUGUGGGGACGAUACAUUCAUCAAGGGGACCUCAGUGGCACCUUGGCAGACCAGGAUUAAACCUUCGGAUUACGAGGCCGCUUCUUUGACCACUAGGCCACCACUUCCUGUUGGCUCCUUCCCCAGGCUCCUCUUGUUGGCCCUUCCAAAUGUUUAAUAACCCAGACAAGUCCAAAAUUAAAUAUAAUUAAAUAUAAUAAUAGAAUAGAAUGAAAU